rnacentral:rRNA from 1 species
AACGAACGCUGGCGGCGCGCCUAAUACAUGCAAGUCGAGCGAGAAGACGUAGCAAUACGUUUGUAAAGCGGCGAACGGGUGAGGAAUACAUGGGUAACCUACCCUCGAGUGGGGAAUAACUAGCCGAAAGGUUAGCUAAUACCGCGUACGCUCCUUGGACUUCGGUUCAGGGAGGAAAGCGAUACCGUGGGUAUCGCGCUCUUGGAUGGGCUCAUGUCCUAUCAGCUUGUUGGGAGGUAACGGCUCACCAAAGCUUCGGCGGGUAGCUGGUCUGAGAGGACGAUCAGCCACACUGGCACUGCGACACGGGCCAGACUCCUACGGGAGGCAGCAGUAAGGAAUAUUGCGCAAUGGGCGAAAGCCUGACGCAGCGACGCCGCGUGGGGG